rnacentral:rRNA from 1 species
CCUGAGAAACCCAAAAGAUCGAAUGGGGAGAUUCAUCGUCAGCGUGGCUGGCUUCCGUGCGGUUCGCGAUGGCCGGGAUCUCGGUCCCGCGUCACGCGUCCGCCGCGGUAUGUCUGGUCGCGUCGGCGUGCACUUCUCCCCUAGUAGGACGUCGCGACCCGUUGGGUGUCGGACCGAUGGCCGUUUGGUCGACUGUCUCGUCGCGUUCACGCGUGCACGCGGCAGACCGAAAUGGUCGAGCGUCCGGCUGCCCGGCGGUAUAGAACGCUAUUGAACGGUAACGAGCCGCACUAAUGCGUUCAGGCUCGUCGGCAGGCUCGUCUCGCCCGGAUUUACGGACCUAGCGCCGUUGCCGGGUGCUUGGCGUGGCCGUUAGUCGACGAUGUCCUCGGACUGGCUCGAAAAUUCGAAAGGAUUACCGGUCGGCGACGCUACUGCUUUGGGUACUUUC